rnacentral:rRNA from 1 species
UACGGGGGGGGCAAGCGUUGUUCGGAAUUACUGGGCGUAAAGGGCUCGUAGGCGGCCAACUAAGUCAUACGUGAAAUCCCUCGGCUUAACCGGGGAACUGCGUCUGAUACUGGAUGGCUUGAGUUCGGGAGAGGGAUGUGGAAUUCCAGGUGUAGCGGUGAAAUGCGUAGAUAUCUGGAGGAACACCGGUGGCGAAGGCGGCAUCCUGGACCGAUACUGACGCUGAGGAGCGAAAGCCAGGGGAGCAAACGGG